GGAUUGUGGCUCAGUGGUAGAGGGCUUGCCUAGCACACGUGAGGCACUGGGUUCAAUUCUCAGCACCA
rnacentral:tRNA from 1 species